UUUAUACGUCGAAUUUCGGUCGCGUCGAAUGCAAUUGAAACAAUAGAUAAUGAAGCUUAAUGAGGUUUAUUAUCUCAUUAUGACAAAAUGAGAUGAUAAACCUCAUUAAGCUUCGUUAUCUAUUGUUUGAAUUGCAUUCAACGCGACCGAUGUUCGACGUAUAAA